rnacentral:rRNA from 1 species
UACGGAGGGUGCAAGCGUUAUCCGGACUUACUGGGUUUAAAGGGUGCGUAGGUGGGUCUGUAAGUCAGUGGUGAAAUCUCCGAGCUUAACUCGGAAACUGCCAUUGAUACUAUAGGUCUUGAAUUAUCUGGAGGUAAGCGGAAUAUGUCAUGUAGCGGUGAAAUGCUUAGAUAUGACAUAGAACACCAAUUGCGAAGGCAGCUUACUACGGAUCGAUUGACACUGAGGCACGAAAGCGUGGGGAUCAAACAGG